GUCUACGGUCAUGCCACUCUGAACAAGCCCGAUCCUGUCUGAUCUCGGAAGCUAAGCAGGGUCGGGCCUGGUUAGUACUUGAAUGGGAGACCACCUUGGAAGACCAGGAACUGUAUGUG
ensembl:rRNA 5S_rRNA 5S ribosomal RNA